rnacentral:rRNA from 1 species
GACGAACCGUGCGAACGUUAUUCGGAAUCACUGGGCUUAAAGGGCGCGUAGGCGGGCCUCCAAGUCAGGGGUGAAAUCCCACGGCUCAACCGUGGAAGUGCCUCUGAUACUGGCGGCCUCGAGGGGUGCAGGGGCGUGCGGAACUCAGGGUGGAGCGGUGAAAUGCGUAGAUAUCCUGAGGAACACCGGUGGCGAAAGCGGCGCGCUGGACACCUUCUGACGCUGAGGCGCGAAAGCCAGGGGAGCAAACGGG